CAGGGCUACACUGCUGCUGGAGGAAUACCUUGCACGGGUUUAGCUGCUGCAAAAUGGAUGGAUGAACAAUAGGGAUUUGUUGUUGCAGAAGCUGUUGGUGUUGUUGCUGCGAAAAUGCUGGUUGUUGUGGUAGAACUGUUUGUUGUUGCUGCGAAAAUGCUGGUUGUUGUGGUAGAACUGGUUGUUGUUUCUGUGAAAAUAGUGGUUGCUGCGAAAAUGAAGGUUGUUGCUGCAAAAAUGGUGGUUGUUGAGGAAAUGGUUGUUGUUGUUGUGAAGAUGGUGGUUGUUGUGGAAAUGUCUCUUUUUGUUGUAAUGGUUGUUGCUGCCAUGGUCUCUCCAAACCAGGGAUGCAGCUAGUCUCCAUCUGUGCAAUGGCAGAUGUCGCCACAACGGCUAGAAGGGCAAAGACGAGGAAG
rnacentral:lncRNA from 1 species